GACGAACGCUGGCGGCGUGCUUAACACAUGCAAGUCGAACGGAAAGGCCCUGCUUUUGUGGGGUGCUCGAGUGGCGAACGGGUGAGUAACACGUGAGUAACCUGCCCUUGACUUUGGGAUAACUUCAGGAAACUGGGGCUAAUACCGGAUAGGAUCUCCUGCUGCAUGGUGGGGGUUGGAAAGUUUCGGCGGUUGGGGAUGGACUCGCGGCUUAUCAGCUUGUUGGUUGGGUAGUGGCUUACCAAGGCUUUGACGGGUAGCCGGCCUGAGAGGGUGACCGGCCACAUUGGGACUGAGAUACGGCCCAGACGCCAACGGGAGGCAACGGUGGGGAAUAUUGCACAAUGGGCGGAAGCCUGAUGCGGCAACGCCGCGUGCGGGAUGACGGCCUUCGGGUUGUAAACCGCUUUCGCCUGUGACGAAGCGUGAGUGACGGUAAUGGGUAAAGAAGCACCGGCUAACUACGUG
rnacentral:rRNA from 1 species